rnacentral:rRNA from 1 species
GUCUACGGCCACACCGCCCUGAACGCGCCCGAUCCCGUCUGACCUCGGAAGCUAAGCAGGGUCGGUCCCGGUCAGUACCCGGAUGGGAGACCGCCCGGGAACCCCGGGUGCCGUAGGCU